rnacentral:misc_RNA from 1 species
GUUAAAGGAUGUACACGACCCUCAAAAUUCCUAUUCCCAGACAACACAGCUGCUGCCACUAAAUCAUUUUCAGUAAUAGCUGAUGCCACUGCAUCAUCAAUGUCACCCGAAUUGCCAAUGCAAGUGGUACAUCCAUAACCAACGAUGUGGAACCCUAAAUGAUUCAAAUACUUCUGCAUGCCACUCUUUUCCAAGUAUUUGGUCACAACCCCAGA